UCGCAUUCUUCGUGAUCGCCGGUGAAUUUCUCGAAUUCUUCCCCUUAAUUCCUGAUCUUGGAUUUCGAUUCUGAUCUUUUUUAUUCAACCAACGUAUUGUUCAAUUUCAUUCUCUUUCUGUAUGGUAUAGGAAAUGAAGUGGCGACAGCGGUGAGAAUCGCCGCCGGUGGAAAGUGUAAGGUUGGAACGGCCGGAGGGCCUCCUCCUUGUGUUCAACAAGCAUGCUACUUUCAGUGCAACUUGAAGUAUGGUAGCCCCGUUACUGGCCAAUGUGAAGGAUCAACUUGUGUUUGUUAUAGUCCUUGUUGAUUUAUGUGUGUUAUGUGAAAUUUAAUUCAUUAGUUGUUG
rnacentral:lncRNA from 1 species